AUGGACUACAUUGGCGUGGAGGAGAUACCUAAAUGGCACAUCUUAAAAAGGUGGACAAAAGAUGCUAGAGACAUCUUGCCACAACACAUUGCUCAUUUCCAAAAAGACCAGGCUGCUAAUCAAUCAUUUACCUGUCGGAGUUCGACUCUGUACCUGCAUUCUAUGGAACUGGUGAGGAUUGGAGACUCGUCAGUCGCGGCAUACGAGCUGGUACUAGGGAAGAUCAAAGACCUAAUACUGGAGGCAUCUCCUUUGGGUGAAAACAUAGAUGGACUAGGGAUUGAGGAUAGGAUAGCUGUAGAAGCAAGCAGAAAGAAAAACAUUGAUGCGGAAAUGGUUGACAAUGAGAACAACAUGACCAUGUCUGGCAAUUGGGAUGCGCUCGCUGGACUGUCAGCUCCAACCAAAAAAACAUGGCGUUGGGAGACCAAGCUCGAGCAGAGAGAAAGCACCAUAUGA
rnacentral:rRNA from 1 species